GGGGUUUGCCGGUAUCUCAGGAAUAAGCAUCGGCUAACUCCGUGCCAGCACCCGCGGUAAUACGGAGGAAGCAAGCGUUAUCCGGAUUCAUGGGGUUUAAAGGGUGCGUAGGCGGGAAAGUAAGUCAGUGGUGAAAGCCUGCAGCUCAACUGUGGAACUGCCAUUGAUACUGCUUUUCUUGAGUUUGGUUGAGGUAGGCGGAAUGUGUAAUGUAGCGGUGAAAUGCUUAGAUAUUACACAGAACACCGAUUGCGAAGGCAGCUUACUAAACCGAUACUGACGCUGAUGCACGAAAGCGUGGGGAGCGAACAGGAUUAGAUACCCUGGUAGUCCACGCUGUAAACUAUGAUCACUCGCUGUUGGCAAUACAUCGUCAGCGGCUGAGCGAAAGCAUUAAGUGAUCCACCUGGGGAGUACGGUCGCAAGAUUGAAACUCAAAGGAAUUGACGGGGGCCCGCACAAGCGGUGGAACAUGUGGUUUAAUUCGAUGAUACGCGAGGAACCUUACCUGGGCUUAAAUGUAGACUGCAUUUCCGGGAAACCGGAAUUUCCUUCGGGACCGUCUACAAGGUGCUGCAUGGUUGUCGUCAGCUCGUGCCGUGAGGUGUCGGGUUAAGUCCCAUAACGAGCGCAACCCCUAUCGUUAGUUGCCAGCGAGUAAUGUCGGGGACUCUAGCGAAACUGCCGGUGUAAACCGAGAGGAAGGUGGGGAUGACGUCAAAUCAGCACGGCCCCUAUGUCCAGGGCUACACACGUGUUACAAUGGUCAGUACAAAGGGCAGCUACCUGGUGACAGGAUGCUAAUCUCGAAAACUGGUCUCAGUUCGGAUUGGAGUCUGCAAUUCGACUCCAUGAAGCUGGAAUCGCUAGUAAUCGCGCAUCAGCAACGGCGCGGUGAAUACGUUCCCGGGCCUUGUACACACCGCCCGUCAAGCCAUGGAAGCUGGGGGUGCCUGAAGUCCGUAACCGAAAGGA
rnacentral:rRNA from 1 species